AUUGAACGCUGGCGGCAUGCUUUACACAUGCAAGUCGGACGCGUGCCGAACUUGUGAGUUACAUAUCGGAACGUUCCGAGUAAUGCGGGAUAACUAAUCGAACGCUUAGCUAAUACCGCAUUUUAUUCGUGCGGCCGUUAUCUUAUUAGCGGGUUGGUGGGGUAAAGGCCUACAAAGGGGACGAUCAGUAGCGGGUCUGAGAGGAUGAUCCGCCACACUGGGACGGCGACACGGCCCAGACUCCUCCGGGAGGCAGCAGUGGGGAAUUUUGGACAAUGGGCGCAAGCCUGAUCCAGCCAUGCCGCGUGUCUGAAGACGGCCUUCGGGUUGUAAAGGACUUUUGUCAGGGAAGCGGUACCUGAAGAAUAAGCACCGGCUAACUACGUGCCAGCAGCCGCGGUAAUAG
rnacentral:rRNA from 1 species